UGUCUAAUACUAUGUAUCAAACAUGUAGAGCAAAAAGCGACCAAAUCUUUUCUGGAUAUCAGCAACGGCUCCGUUGACUUCAGUUAUCUUGGGAACACUGCUGGUUUACCUUACCCGCGCUGAAAAACAUGGUGUCCAAGUGAUUGGGCAAUUGAAGAAAGGGAUAAAUCCACCAUCAAUUAUGGAUCUUGAAUUUGAUUCACGAUAUCUGACCACAGUAAUCAAAACUGGCAUUGUCACGGGCAUCAUCUCUCUCGCAGAAGGAAUAGCAGUGGGCAGAAGCUUUGCCAUGUUCAAGAAUUACCACAUUGAUGGAAACAAAGAAAUGAUUGCCUUCGGAAUGAUGAACAUUGUUGGAUCUUUCACUUCCUCUUACCUCACUACUGGUAUGGCUCUCUCCUAUAAAGGACAAAACUACAUCACAUGCACAUAUCAAACAGAAUUCUCCUCAUAUUUUGAGCUGAAAUUUUUAAAACUUCAAGAAUUAAAUUGACAAAGAAUUUAGAAUCCCAAAGUAUUAACAUUGGCCCAAAAUUCAAGGACUAUGUAGCCACGUUGUUCGAUAGAGAAACAGAUUGUAUUUACAAGAACAACAACAAACUUAUUCUUAUCUCAAAAUUAUUUAAGAAAAACAUAGACGGAAUUAGAAAUAGAUUGUAUUAACUUGUAGAAACAAAUUCAGGUUAUAUUAUGUCCAGCAUUAAUUACUUUUGUUAUGGAUUAAACAAAUAAUCUACACACCAUACUACGUUCUUCAUCCUGAGAUAUUGUAUUAUAUCAAAUAAUGAACUCACUUU